AUGCAUGGCAAAAAUGCCUCACCGAGCCAAUCAGCAUCUACUCAUAGAGAUGCAUUUUCUCUCAAAAGGCAGUGUUUGCAUUGAAAACCCUGCAGGAAUAAGCUAUAGACACCAGAAUCACGAUAUUAAUUGUUGGAACAUGUACUGUCCUUGAUGAUCAGCAGAGCUAUCUGCCAUGGUCUUAUAGUUCUAACCAAACUGUGCCACGACCUCAAGUAUUUGGAGACACUCUUGAGAGACCAUACAAAGGAGUCUGAUUCAUAAAAUGUCCAAAAUUUAUUGAACAGAACACCGCUUAUAAAUCUUAUGCAAUAAGGGGGGGUCUAGUGGGAGUAUCAUUAAUUACCAAUCAAAUAUUGACAACUAUUAACUAACAGCAUGGAAAGGUUGUGCAGACAGCAUAAAAUAUGCAACAAAUUGAUUCUAAG